GCUGUUUUAAAAGAUGUCACACACCUAUACAUACUUUAUUAUGCUAGAUGUCAUAUCAUUCACAUUUACAACAAAAGUUUAACAAUACACUGAAUAUAGAAAAAGUAGAUUUAUUUACAAUGCAAAAAGAAAGAAAAUACCACAAAUACAAGCUGAUAUAUGAACCAAAUAAUCAAUAAGUGUCUGGCUCUCUACACUUUAAAUGCAAAAUAUGGAUUCACAAAGCUGUCUUUUUACGCGCAAAAAUCUGUUAAGACAUAACUCUGACAUGUACUUAACUUUUUAACAAGUGUUUCUUGAAUUGUAACUAUGUAUUACAUUCUAAAAUUCUUUUGAACAUUCCAUAUCGUUACACUUUUCACGUAACCUAAAUAUAAUAUUAAAGGGACACUAUAGUCACCUAAACAACUUUAGCUUAAUGAAGCAGUUUUGGUGUAUAGAACAUGCCCCUGCAGCCUCACUGCUCAAUCCUCUGCCAUUUCGGAGUUAAAUCACUUUGUUUAUGAACCCUAGUCACACCUCCCUGCAUGUGACUUGCACAGCCUUCCAUAAACACUUCCUGUAAAGAGAGCCUUAUUUAGGCUUUCUUUAUUGCACGUUCUGUUUAAUUAAGAGUUUCUUAUCCCCUGCUAAGUUAAUAGCUUGCUAGACCCUGCAAGAGCCUCCUGUAUGUGAUAUAAGUUCAAUUUAGAGACUGAGAUACAAUUAUUUAAGGUAAAUCACAUCUGUUUGAAAGUGAAAUCAGUUGUUUUUUUCAUGCAGGCUCUGUCAAUCAUAGCCAGGGGAGGUGUGGCUAGGGCUGCAUAAACAGAAACAAAGUGAUUUAACUCCUAAAUGACAGUGAAUUGAGCAGUGAAAUUGCAGGGGAAUGAUCUAUACACCAAAACUGCUUUAUUUAGCUAAAGUAAUUUGGGUAACUAUAGUGUUCCUUUAAAUAAAAGUCUAAUGGCUUUCUUCGAUUCUUUCAAUAGUUUCUAUACAGUAUAUUAGUCCAGGUGUGUUUUAUAGCCUUGUACUUGUCUAGUGCAUACAAAGUUGUUCUAGAUAAGACAUAUUUACAUAGUAAAUCCAUCUAAUAUACACGGAGUCAUGUUACACAGUUUUAGGUCCCCUAAUUAGGAGUGGGCACUAGGCUUCCAACAACCAAGUGCAGGCUAUAGUGGCAUGAGGGUAUGCCAAGCUUGAUAGCCAACAUCAGUUGUCAAUGUGCUACAAACUAUUCCAUAUCUCUUUCUUGGUAAGAAUUCCACAUCCUACUCCCUUCAGCCAUACUGGGCCCAUUAACAACCUAGACUCUGGCCUAAUGUUUUAUUAUUAACUCAAAAUAUUAAGUUAAAAUAGCAUAUAUUCUUGCAGGGAAGUUGUAAUAAUUCCUAAUUACAAAUCCUGCAUGGCAGACUAUGCCUAUUUUUGGAUUAUAAUUUCUGCAGAUACUUUUCUUUUCUUGAACCAUGCUAGAAGUGGAUCCACUCCUGUUACUGAAAAUUAGGGAACUCUAGCUCCUUUAUUUACAAACAUGACAGUUCACAAAUUUUGAGUAGAAAAAGGAUUAGGAAAAUAAGACGAAUUUCAUUAUACUGUACCAGUUGGUUUUCAAAAUGUAUAUUAUUAUUAUUAUAUUUAUAUAGCGCCAACAAAUUCCAUAGCGCUUUACAAUGGUUGGACUAACAAACAUGUAAUUGUAACCAGACAAGUUUGACGCACAGAAACAGAGGGCUUGAGGCAGGGCCGGUGCAAGGAUUUUUGCCGUCCGAGGCAAAAUUAAAUAAAAAUUUGCCGUCCCGCCUGCCCCCCCAUGUGACAUCACAAUGCCCCACCCAUAUGAUCUGCCAUAUGAACUAAUGCCAGUGCUGCACACAGUAUGUGUUUACAUUGAAAAGCCUGCACGGACAGGCUACAGACACCAGAAUCAUUAUAUUAAGCUACAGUGGUUCUGGGGACUAUAGAGUCCUUUUAAUGUGAGGUAAAUUAGAGAUUAGUGUCACUAAUAAUAUACUAGAUUGCCUACUUACAAUCAGAUGAGGAUGGUGAUGGGCUCUAGCUGCAGUCUGGCUUCACUGGUCUGGUGUAGAACAGGCUCUCUGGAGGUUGUUUGUAACUGUGGUCACAAAAUUCAAUGUUCUGGGAGAACGGGAAGCAGCUCCAUUUUUUGGGGCUCCUUGUGGAGGAUCUAAUGUGUGUGCUUAUGGAAUAUAGUGUAUAGGGAUACCAGUUUGUGUAGGUGAUGCAGUAUAUGUGUAGUGGAUGCAGUGUAUUUUUGUGUAAGGGAUAGAAAGCAGUGUUUGUUUGUAAGGGAUGUAUUGUGUGUUUCUGGUUGUGUGUAAGGGACGCAUUGUGUGAAUCUGUGUUUGUAUGCAUAAGGGAUGCAAAGUGUGUUUCUGUGUUUGUAAGGGAUGCAGUGUGUGUGUGUCUAUAAGGGGUGCAUUGAGUGUGUGUAAGAGAUGCAUUGUGUUUCUGUGUGUGUGUAAGAGAAGCAGUGUGUGUUUGCAUGUGUGUGCAAGGGAUGCAUUGUGAGUUCUGUGUAUGUGUGCAAAGGAUGUAUUGUCUUUGUGUGUAAGGGUUGCAUUGUGUGUGUGUGUGUGUGUGUGUGUAAUGGAUGCAUUGUGUGUUUCUCUGUGUGUAAGGGAAGCAUGUUGUGUUUCUUUGUAUGUAAAUUCUCCUCUCCCCCUCUCCCUUAGUGGACUCUGCCCCACUUAUA